CUUUCUCCCCCGGGGCCUCUUACAGACCUGAAGACAGUGUGGGACAGGGACCUGUUAACUGAUGAUGGACUGGCUGGACCCUGGCUAAGAAUGUGGUCCUAGGAGGAGAGUUGGACACCACCACAUACUGCUCCAGGAUCAUGGGCUCCGAGUUCACGUCGGCACCUGGUGAGGGCAGAAAGCAUGCGGUGAGCCAGCGUCCAGCCAUGGCUCCGCGGGGUGGCCGACCUCUGUCCAUCCGACUCAUGAUAGGCCGAUCUGUCGCCAGUACCAGACCAAUCAGCGGGCAGCUGGGGCUCGCAACAUAAUCCCAAAGGCCUGGCCAUAUAGAAAUACCCCCCUCUGGCCCGCAGUGCAGCGGGGCCUGGGGACAUUGGGGAGCAGGAGUGCAGGGAGAAGGGGUGGAGGGAGAAAGAAAAAGGAGAAGGAGUAAGAGAAGAAGGGGAAAGGGUGGAGGGGGUGGGGAGAGAAGCAAAUCCCAAAGUUUGCCCCACUGGGAGUUAGCUGAUCUCAAAGUUUCCUAAAGGAGGCUGAAAAUAAGUCUCUUUCGAAAGGGAGCUCCGCUAUCUCCCGGCCUGGCCCCAUGAGUGUCGACCAUGAGAUCCAGGGAGGGGUGGGGGGGAGGCAUUCGGGUCUGUCGUGGGAAAGAGGGAAGGAAACAAAAAGAAAAGGAGAGAAGAGAAAGCAAGCAAGAAAGAAGGAAGAGUCCCCACCUCCCCCCACCCCUGCAAACUCCAGCAAAAAUAAACAGCUCUCCCCUCAGAGACCCAGCUCCUUCUCUUGAAGCUGUCUGAAGCUUAGGCUGGAAGUUAAGAGGGGGCUGUGGACGCCAA